GACGAACGCUGGCGGCGUGCUUAACACAUGCAAGUCGAACGAAGAGCGACGGAAGCUUGCUUCUAUCAAUCUUAGUGGCGAACGGGUGAGUAACGCGUAAUCAACCUGCCCUUCAGAGGGGGACAACAGUUGGAAACGACUGCUAAUACCGCAUACGAUCUAAUCUCGGCAUCGAGGAUAGAUGAAAGGUGGCCUCUACAUGUAAGCUAUCACUGAAGGAGGGGAUUGCGUCUGAUUAGCUAGUUGGAGGGGUAACGGCCCACCAAGGCGAUGAUCAGUAGCCGGUCUGAGAGGAUGAACGGCCACAUUGGGACUGAGACACGGCCCAGACUCCUACGGGAGGCAGCAGUGGGGAAUCUUCCGCAAUGGACGAAAGUCUGACGGAGCAACGCCGCGUGAGUGAUGACGGCCUUCGGGUUGUAAAGCUCUGUUAAUCGGGACGAAAGGCCUUCUUGCAAAUAGUGAGAAGGAUGGACGUACCGGAAUAGAAAGCC
rnacentral:rRNA from 1 species